CCUCUCACACUGACAGGUGAAUGGCUGUCUGCUUGACCCUGUACCCCCUGUCCUGGUGAGGAAGGGAUGCCAGUCCCUGCCCAGCAGUAUGAUGGAGACCUCCAUUGAUGAAGGAUUGGAGACAGAAGGAGAGGCCGAGGAAGACCCCAGUCAGGCCUUUGAAGCUUUCCAGGCCACACGCAGUGGGCAGCGACGGCACACUCUGUCAGAAGUGACUAACCAAUUGGUUGUGUUGCCCAGGGCAGGAAAAGUUUUCUCCAUGAGUGAUAGCCCCUCCCUUGACAGUGUGGACUCUGAGUAUGAUAUGGGGUCUGCCCAGAGGGACCUGAACUUUCCAGAAGACAGCCCUUCCCUGAAGG
rnacentral:lncRNA from 1 species